UUGUCUUUAUUGGCGACAGGUGAAUUGACUUGUGGACUAACCAUGGUUAAGAAUGACAGAAUCUUACCAGUUUGGGGCUGAUGAGACAAGUUCUGCCAGUGAAAGACGAUUGACCUGUAGAGGACAGGCAGUUUAAAACUCUUCCUCCUUCAAAUACUGAGGAAAUUUGAUGGAUCUGAUGAUAGGUGAAGAAGACUUGCCCAGGACACAGAGCAUGAAAAGUAACCAGAGAGGUGGUACCUUUCUACCAGACUGACUGCCCAACAAGUCAGAAACCUGUCUAGUUGUCCCACCACCAGCUUUGUUCCCCUUCACAUGAAAUGGCUAACUCAAGUCACCACUGAACUGGACUAUAUAAAAGAGACACAGGAGUCACUGAAAGAGAUCCUAAUGGCCAAGGCUGGAACAAUUUGAACAACAAAAUAAAUACAGUUUUGGAUUACAUGUAAAAAUAUGAAAUAAAUAUCCAGGAAUCCAUAUGGAUAUAAAUAGAUAAUUAGAUAUAUUUUAAAAUGACGGAGAAUAAACAAAUAUCUCAUGUAAAAUAAUUGCAAAUUAUUUAUAUGAUCCUCAGUUUUCAAGAAGGGGGUCUCCUCAUCUUAGUUGUGGGUUAUGCAUAAUGACUUCCUUUAAAGAGGACAGUAUGAAGAGAAGCUGGGAGAGUAACUUCAUGGGGGGAAAUCUAACAAACACUAACACAGCCAGCUGAUCAAAAACACCAACACUGAUAAAUCAUGCGAAUAGUAUGUACCUUUGAAAGAAAGUGAUUAAAAUGGCACUUCCCCAGGACUUUGCAAACAGUCCAGUGGUUAAGACUUCAAGGCAGGGGGUGUGGGUUCAAUUUCUGGGCUAGGGAACUAAGAUCUCACAUGCCACACAGGGCAACCAAUAAAUAAAUAAAUAAAAUAGCACAUUCCUUCUGUGAUCUUCCUUCCUAAAAACUCCAUAACCCCAGCCAAAAUCAUGGGAGAAACAUAGGACCAUUCUACAAAAUACCUAGCCAAUAUUCCUGAAACCUGUUAUUAUCA